UACGUAGGGUGCAAGCGUUUGUCCGGAAUUAUUGGGCGUAAAGAGCUCGUAGGCGGUCGUGUCACGUCGGCUGUGAAAACCCGAGGCUCAACCUCGGGCCUGUAGUCGAUACGGGCAAACUAGAGUACUGCAGGGGAGACUGGAAUUCCUGGUGUAGCGGUGAAAUGCGCAGAUAUCAGGAGGAACACCGGUGGCGAAGGCGGGUCUCUGGGCCGUAACUGACGCUGAGGAGCGAAAGCAUGGGGAGCGAACAGG
rnacentral:rRNA from 1 species